AGUAUAUACAGUACAACAUCCGAAUUGC
rnacentral:sRNA from 1 species